rnacentral:rRNA from 4 species
UGCAGAAUCCCGUGAACCAUCGAGUCUUUGAACGCAAGUUGCGCCUGAAGCCAUUAGGCUGAAGGCACGUCUGCCUGGGCGUCACGC